UUAGUCAAAGGGCUACAAUGUGGCCCCUUUGAAGAGUCUGUUCACCAUGCGAUGUACUUUUCUUCUUCGCGCCCCCUCCGAGCAUCUCCCGCUUCACCCCUUGUUUGAUGUUUCUUGGACAUUUUGUUAAAAAAUAUAUAAAUAAAUAUGAAGACAACAGUACACAGACGCUUUUGAAAAACAGAGAAAUAGGACGAGCCUUUUUUGCGGACACACACAUGCAUUCUUGAAAACCUCCUCAGAGGAGCGAAAGUAAGAUAGCAGGGGAGGAAGAGAGAAUGAAAGAUGAGGACGAAGAGCAAAUACGAGAUUAAGAGGGAGAGAGAGAGAAAGAAAGAGAGCUGGAAAGAAUGAGAGAGAGAGAGAGACUCUCCUCCCUUCGGCAGCAGCGCUUGUGUCUCUUUCAUGUCCACCAUGCUUGGAUCUGAGGCUUCGUCUCCCAGCUGGGCCUGGUGUGCAUGUGUGCAGCUAAGUGCCGGCUAAUUUCCCCUUGGAUCUCCCGGCCGGAGCCUAGGAUUUCUCCCCCAACAACGCCACCCCACAAACACCACUGCCUCGGUCCCCUGUCCAUGUGAAGAGGAGAUGGGAAAGGGGCAGAUUUGGCAGCGAUGGGCGAACAGGAGCUCCUUCCAUAUAAUGAGAAUCCACUACGAAAAAGACACUGUGCAGUGCUCCGUUUCCAGGGAACAUAACAUGGGACCGCACUCUAGCAGCAGAACUUCUACGACAGGAAAAUGACUUCCAUUUCGGAGGCAGUACAGCAGACAGUGUGGGUACCUUUUCUCCACUGAGUGCAUCCGUUAGGUCACUUAUCGGGUCAAGUACCUCUAGAACCGUCUCUAAAUAUGCCACAUCCGAUCUUUUGGCAUCAGAUGCCACUUCUUUCUGUUUUCUGCCAAAACAGCACAGACAGCCAGAAUCGGUCGAUCCCGGAUGAUGGUGCACUUCUACACGGCCAUCAUGGAGUCCAUCCUCUGCUCCUCUAUCACUGUCUGGUACGCUGCAGCCACAGCCAAGGACCAGCUCUUCCAGGACCCUGAAGCGAGCUAAAAAAAUUGUUGCCAACCCCUCUCAACCCGGACAAAACCUGUGUGUGCCCCUUCUAUCUGGCAGGAGGCUGAGGUCCAUCAGGACCAAGACCUCUUGCCACACAAACAGUUUGUUCAGCAACAGAGCCCGGUCCCCCACUGACUAACACUGUCAUCCCUGUCCACUGGUCACACUCCACAUGCACAUACACUUGUUACUUUCUGUUCGCUGACUUUUUGUUUUUUUUCAUCUUGCACUAUGUUGUCUUAUCUUUCUUGUUGUCACGCACCAACUGCCAAGUCAAAUUCCUUGUAUGUCUAACAUAUUUUGAUAAUAAACGUUCCUGAUUCCGGAUUCCUGAAGAUGCCAAACACACACGCACAAACCACCUCCUCCCAAUUAUUCCAUUCACUUCUAAUGGUAACCAUUUGUCUUUCGAUGAAAUCAAAAUGCUGUUUUCUCUGAGGACAAAUUGCAAAGCUAUUCCAUUCACAGCUUGAGAAAGGCCUACGGCUUGGCUGGGUUUCUUCAGGGUUGUUUAAAUGACGGGGCAGGGGCUUAGCUAAUGUGGCUAAUAGGCUCUGAAUUGUGUGCGGUUGUGAAUGUGCAAGUGAAGGAAAGGAACGCUCAAGGAAAGCAAAUAGAGGGAUUUAUUUAUGUGGCCUAUGUUUUGAAUUUGCCCAAUGAUUAAAUUAUAGCUGUUUUAGGGCCCCUUUGUGAUUGAAACUAAAGGGACUCGAGAAGAAAGCCUUGUUCGAGGCACGAGUGAAAUCCAGGAAGUAAAUGAUAAAUCCAUGUCAAUGCUCAUCAGAUGCCAAAACUCUUCACAGCAGCGUGCUGGUCUCGUCUGGCUGAUAGAUAGACAAUUCAGUAUCAGCUGCAUAACAGUGAACGUUAUGCAGUAUUUUCUGAUAACAUUGCCUAAAGGAAGCAUUUAAUUGUUAAAUCAAAUACUUCUAAGCACAGAGCCUUGUGGAACUCCGUGACCAACAUUGGUAUUUGUUGAGGUUUCACCGUUUAGAAACAAACUGAAAUGGAUUCCGAUGAAUACGACCAGCUGCGGUUCCUUUAAUACCAAUUAAUUAUUCUAGUCUUUGCAACACGUUGCAAGGACCAAUGGUUUCAAACACGGCACUGACGUCCAGCAAGAUAGGAAAGGAGACAAAACCUCCCAAGUAGAAGAGCUUUGUAAAUUUUCACUAGUGCUGUUUUUGUGCUAUGAUGAACUCUAAAUUCUGACAAAGAAAUCUUAAAGUAAACCAUAGUUAUGUAGUAACAUAACUGAUUUGUGACUGCUUUCUAAGGGUCUUAGAGAGGAAAGGAAGAUUAUAGAUGGGUCUAUUGUUAGAGAACACCUCUGGAGCAAGGGUGGGUUCAAAUGAGUUAUAAUUUAGUCUAGUCUUAUUAAAAGGCUAGUCAAAAAUAGCUGCUACUCCACCUCCUCGGCUUGUGCCUGAAGGAAUAUGAGUAUUAACAUGACUCGGAGGAGUCGAUUCAUUUAAACUGACAUAUUCUCCAUUUGACAGCGAGCUUCCGGUAUGAAAUGAUCAUUAUGAUUUACUAAAAUAGCUUUACACCGAGUCCAACUUUAAUUCUAUUUUCUUGCAAUGUUGCCUUGUUGGUUUUAACAUUUUUUUAAGUUGUUUUGCUGAACUCCUUGACUGUUUACCUUUGGUUUAAAUAAAUGAAGUGGCAGCAGAGAAAGUGUGUAAGACUGCAACUCGUAUUGCUCAAGAAAUCUGCCGAAACAAGUGGGAGAGUUAUAAAAAGGUUUUGUGUCUUUAUAUGGGUUAGUUAUCAAACAUACUUUGCUAAAUAUGAAAUAAGGUUACUCGGCAACCAGCUGUUCGUCAAAACAAAAGGAUGAUGACAGCAACUCAUAAAACCAAACUGCCAGUAGUAAUUGUCGGUUGUUUUAUUUAAAUAAUAUUUUCUACUAGUACUAGUUGUUUAAAAGAGCAAAAACGAUGAACAGUUUAUGAAACGUUUGUAUGCAACUAGGCAGCACAUACCUUGAAUAAAAGAAAUGAUAUAAGUAGAAGAGUGGCCUGUUUAUACGUUUGUUAGGCAGAUCUGUGUGCACCUCUUUGCUGUUGCUAUGACGCCCUGUGAAGCACCUUUAUUGAUCAUAGUCAAAGCAGUGUUCCAGAAGCUGUUCCAAACGGUACACAUACGUUGUGCGUUGGAUGUAGAUGCAUGCCAGACGAUAUUGUGGCCUUUCUAUUCACUACGGGUAAAAUAAGUUCACAAACAUGACCAUUUUACCUCUCAUGAAAUACAACAGUAAGUCGACUUUUCUGCAUGUUCGCAUAUUAUUUUGGUCCCACAUGUGUGUGUUUGGCCAUGUGAGUGCGGACUUACACAAGUAUGUAUUCAUAUGCACUC
ensembl:lncRNA